UUCCUGAUGGUCCAGUGGUUAAGACUCUGCCCUUCCAAUGCAGGGAGCCCAGGUUCAAUCCCUGGUCAGGGAA